rnacentral:tRNA from 1 species
AGGGAUAUAGCUCAAUUGGUAGAGCACCUUGUUUACACUACCGAGAAGGUCUACGGUUCGAGUCCGUAUAGCCCUA